rnacentral:rRNA from 1 species
UACGGGGGGGGGUAAGCGUUGUUCGGAAUUACUGGGCGUAAAGGGCUCGUAGGCGGCCAACUAAGUCAUACGUGAAAUCCCUCAGCUUAACUGGGGAACUGCGUGUGAUACUGGAUGGCUUGGAUUUGGGAGAGGGAUGCGGAAUUCCAGGUGUAGCGGUGAAAUGCGUAGAUAUCGUAAGGAAGACCAGUGGCGAAGGCGGGUCUCUGGACAGUUCCUGACGCUGAGGCACGAAGGCCAGGGGAGCAAACGGG